ACAUCCAGAGAACUUAGCAGAGAUGCUUUGGUGCCUUCGGGAACUCUGAGGCAGGUGCUGCAUGGCUGUCGUCAGCUCGUGUUGUGAAAUGUUGGGUUAAGUCCCGCAACGAGCGCAACCCUUAUCCUUUGUUGCCAGCGGUUCGGCCGGGAACUCAAAGGAGACUGCCGGUGAUAAACCGGAGGAAGGUGGGGAUGACGUCAAGUCAUCAUGGCCCUUACGGCCAGGGCUACACACGUGCUACAAUGGCGCAUACAAAGAGAAGCGACCUCGCGAGAGCAAGCGGACCUCAUAAAGUGCGUCGUAGUCCGGAUUGGAGUCUGCAACUCGACUCCAUGAAGUCGGAAUCGCUAGUAAUCGUAGAUCAGAAUGCUACGGUGAAUACGUUCCCGGGCCUUGUACACACCGCCCGUCACACCAUGGGAGUGGGUUGCAAAAGAAGUAGGUAGCUUAACCUUCGGGAGGGCGCUUACCACUUUGUGAUUCAUGACUGGGGUGAAGUCGUAACAAGGUAGGCGUAGCGAG
rnacentral:rRNA from 1 species